CGCGAGUGGUUGUGUCGUUCAAUUUUAUUCAUCAUCGAGUACGCAAUUAAUUGAUUAUUGGAUCAACUUCAAAGGAGGGAAAAAUUUCAAUAUGGACGUCAUCAUAUUUUUCCAAAGAGAAGUUUGAUAUUUUGCUUGUGUACUGUAUGUAUUUAUUCUGUUUUUAUUCGAUCAUUUUUAUGUAAUAUACUUUAUUAUUUCAAAGUAUAAUUAUAUUUUUAUAAUGAAUAUUCACCACAAAUAUAUUUAAUACUUUAGUUGAAAUAAUAAUUUAAAAUAUGCAUUCUAUUUUAUAUAUGAAAUUUUUUUAUUUAUGAAAAUUUCUGAAUAUGUUCUGAAACAAAUGUUUAAACAAAAAGAAGAAACAAAAAAAAUUUUGUUUUUUAUGAAAUAUAAAUUUCCUUCUUUUUCUAAUUUUUCCAUUAUAAUAUAUAGUUUAUAAUAAUACAGUUUUAUUUUCAGAGGAUUUUUGUGACCACGUGCAAUGUGGUCGAUAGAUUCAGUGUUAUUUCCCUAGUAACUUUUUUUAUACUUUAAAAUAUAAUAACUUAAAUUAAAUUUAUUUAUUAUAUUGUGAAAUUAGAGUCAGUGCUUGUUCGUUGUUUAUAUUUUAAACUGAUUUAAUAGUUUUUUAUUUUUAAUUUUUUUUUAAAUAUUUGUUUUCGGUAUAAAGUAGAGUCAGUGUUUCUCAAAAGAAUAAAACUCUCAUCAAUAACGCAAAGAGUUUCUACUUUCUUACUUGAUGACUACUUUACUUGGUGACAUCCCAUACAUCUCAACAGUAUUGACAUCGCAUCUAAUGGUGAGUCGCAUGCUUUUUGGUUCCUCUGAUCACUCAAUCAUGUCGUAGGACGAAAGGUCUGAAUCGACACGGGUGACUAGUUGUAUACGUAGAUUUUUGCACGAGCACAGUGAUCGCGGGUAUUUUUUAUACCCGUGAGUAAUAACAUUUCUUUUUUUUUUUAUAUUUUAUUUAUUAGAUUAGGAUAGAUCUUCUUGCAUGUCGCGUUUUUUAGAAAAUGAUAUAAAUAAAUGAAUGAUAUUAAUAUAAUGAUAUUA